rnacentral:rRNA from 1 species
GUAGGGGGCAAGCGUUAUCCGGAUUUACUGGGUGUAAAGGGAGCGUAGACGGCUGUGCAAGUCUGAAGUGAAAGCCCGUGGCUCAACCGCGGAACUGCUUUGGAAACUGUGCAGCUCGAGUGCAGGAGAGGUAAGCGGAAUUCCUAGUGUAGCGGUGAAAUGCGUAGAUAUUAGGAGGAACACCAGUGGCGAAGGCGGCUUACUGGACUGUAACUGACGUUGAGGCUCGAAAGCGUGGGGAGCAA